CGCGUCCGGGUGCGAAACGGCGCUGCGCUUUCAUGAUUCCCGGAGGAGCGCGUGAGGACAGAGGAGAGGAACGGGGUUAUUCUGCUGUCAGGGGGGCGUGGCUAACCCUCUCUCAGAUAAAUUCAGAUCGCAGAGCGGGCGCGUCACAGACAGCUGCGGAGACGCCGGAGGAGCAGCUCUCCACCGGAGAGGAGAUGAAGAGGAGGCUGAAUAAGAAGUACCUGGUUCUGAUACUCGCCUACACCGGGCUGCUCCUGCUGGUCCCGUACGUGCUGGAUUACCGGGAUAAGUCUGUUCAGCACGCGGCACGCGGCUUGCAGCAGCAGCCUCGGUGUCCGGACCUGGAGAACACGGUGGCUCUGCUGUGGGAUGAUAACGGGAAAGUUAACGGCAGCGACGCGGCGGCGGAGCUCGCCGGCAACCGGAGCCAGUCCCGGAUCAAUAUCUACCUGCACGCCACCUGGAGGACCGGCUCCUCGUUUCUGGGGGAGCUGUUCAACCAGCACCCAGAUGUGUUCUACCUGUACGAACCCAUGUGGCACAUCUGGCAGGCUCUGUACCCCGGGGACGCGGGCAGCCUGCAGGGCGCAGUGCGGGACAUGAUGAGCUCCCUGUACCGCUGCGACUUCUCCGUCCUCAAACUUUACGCAGGCUCGCAGAACAUCACCACCUCCUUCAUCUUCGGCUGGAAAACCAACAAGGUGAUCUGCUCCGAGCCGCUCUGCGACGCGCACAAGCGCCACGAAAUCGGGCUGGUGAAAGAGGACCGGUGCGCAAAGUGCCAAAAGAAGGACCUCCGAGAUCUGGAAAGGGAGUGUAAGAAGUACCCGGUGAUGGUGAUCAAAGGAGUCCGCGUGCUGGACCUGAGCACGCUGGUUCCUCUGAUGAAAGACCCCAACAUAAACCUGCAGAUCAUCCAGCUCUUCAGGGACCCGAGGGCCGUGCAUAACUCGCGCCUCAAGUCCAAGCAAGCCCUGGUGAAGGAGAGCAUCCAGGUGCUGAGGAGCAAGAAACAGAGCGACAGGUACAAGCGGCUGCUGGCACCGAGCAACCGAGUGAACCGCGCGGAGAGCUACGUGUCCAGUGCCAUGGAGCUCAUCUGCGACAACUGGCUCAGCGACAUGAUGCUGGUGCAGAACGCGCCUCCGUGGCUGCGGAGGAACUACAUGCGCGUUCGCUACGAGGACCUGGUCCUGCAUCCUAUGGAGGAGCUGCAGAGGCUCUUCCGCUUCUCCAACCUGUCCACGUCCCCAGCUUUGGAGAGGUUUGCACUGAACAUGACGCACGGACAGGGCUACUCCUCAGACAAGCCCUUCCUCAUCUCAUCGCGGGACGCAAAGGAGGCUAUCUACGCGUGGAGGGAGCGGCUGAACGUGGAGCAGAUCAGUCAGGUGGAGGCCUACUGCAGUGAGGUCAUGAGGCAGCUGGGCUACCAGAAGAACCGCGUGGACAAAGCGACCUGAGGGAAAGCAGUUUAAGGGAGGUCCUGCAUCCUGUGUCACAUGCUGCAAACCACGAGGAGCAAAAAUCGACGUACUCAAAGGGUCCUGGUUUUAAAGCCUGAGGUCAGAAGAUGGUUUAACAAAACAAGCAGCUGGAAUGUGGUCCUCUAGGAGUUCUCAGGCAUGUCUCAGGGGUUGUUUUCCUUCGGCCAAGCCACGCUGAUGAACUGGAGAAAAUCCGAGUGGAAAGAGCAGCCAAUCACAGACAGAUGGAUUUGGAACGAGGAGAAGGCGGCUCAUUUUUCCUGUUUUCUGUCUGACACCAGCAGGGGGAUGAAACAAGAGGCUGGCAUGUUACGCCGGUCAGCCUUGAACGUUCUGUCCUUUUAGUCACACUAAUCCGUCCUCAAACCCCCUCCCUGCAUAUGAGCUCCAUAAAAAGCCCACGACGGGUCCUUCUCAGGAGGUGACUGCCAGGAUCCAGAGUGGCAGCGUCAGCUUUGCUCUCACCUGUGUGACUUAUCCGUCCAGCCUGUGACUUGGUGUGGCAGCAAUCUCGUGCAUUACUGGUACUAAAUGGCAGCUGGCUCACUAACAGUGCUAAUGUAGAGCAUUAAAAGAAGAAAGUACAGUAUUUUCUGGAAAAGAGGCCUCUCUGAGGAACCGCUGUUCCACCCCCGGCCCCUCAGGAAUCCACACAGCUGCAGCGCCCCUCUGACAAAACGCUCACAUGGGUGUGAGAUUCCUUCCCCCUCCUCAUGCAGAGGCACCUCUGUCCUCUCAAAAACAGCACAGGGUACAGAGCCACGUUGUUUAGUUUGUGUCUAAAAUGUUGUAAAAUGCUGUAAUAUGCACCCUCAGAAGGGUUUCAGUUUUUGAGAUACCCCUAUCACCUCGUCAAAGGUCUCCCACACAUGCAAAUAUUUUACUGCUCAUGUGGUUAACCCUGGAAACCUUAAGCAGCUUCUGGGUGUUUUUGCUCCACAUGUUUCUCUGCAGAAUAAACUCCUGCAGCUCUGGGGAAGCAGCGCGGCAGCAGACAGCUGCCAGAAAUCAGGAAAACAAAAAAAGAGUUACAUUUCUGCGAUUUUUCAUUUUAAAAAUAUUAACCUGAGUUGUUGUUACGUGACUGGUGGUCUCGGCUUCUCAGUUGAGCUGAAGAGCUCAGUUUUUUCUUUCUCCCAGGAUCUGGUUCAUGCAGAGUUUGUAAGCUUAGAUUUAGCCAUAGUUCAUUCAGGGACCAUCAGAAAGGUGAAAAUUACAGCUGUGACGGUGUAAUUUUAAAGAAAACGUGUUUUUCCAUCUGUUGUUGCUCAGAGGGCUGUACUGGCAGAUACUGUGGAGCAGCCCAUAAAUGAAAGAAAAAACCGUAAACCACAGUCAAGACAGAUGGGAGGCGCUACACUUAAAGUCAGGUCAUUUCAUAAUGGAAGCUCUGAAUCAGCCUGAAGUCCGUGUGAGGGUUCCCCCUCAUGUGGGAAACAUCAGCAUGUGAAUAUGGUGAUGCACGGAGGACACCCAGCACUACAAACACACGAGGACAGCAGGCGCAGAUUUCACGGAUGAGUCUGUGACAGUGAUAAAUAUAUUUACUUUUUCAGAGGAACCUACUAAAUUGAAAUGUGCGGGGUAACUCUUUGAAUAUAUGAUUAAGUGGUGGGGGUAAAUCAAAUGCUGAGAGCCUCCCCUUCCCCGGCUGUGCCCCCUGUGGUUCGAGGGGUGAAAUGUUUACUGACAUCCACGUGUUCAGAGUUGGUUCUGUAACAAUGUUCUCAGUAAAGAGAGAAAUAACUUUAGACUAUUUAAACUGACUCAAAUACAGAAUAAAAACUAGAGAAACACUC